rnacentral:rRNA from 1 species
GGCUUAGAGUUUGAUCAUGGCUCAGGACGAACGCUGGCGGCGCGCCUAACACAUGCAAGUCGAACGGAGUUGAGAGGAGCUUGCUUUUCUUGACUUAGUGGCGAACGGGUGAGUAACGCGUGAGGAACCUGCCUCAAAGAGGGGGACAACAGUUGGAAACGACUGCUAACACCGCAUAAGCCCACGGUCUCGCAUGGGACAGAGGGAAAAGGAGCAAUCCGCUUUGAGAUGGCCUCGCGUCCGAUUAGCUAGUUGGUGAGGUAACGGCCCACCAAGGCGACGAUCGGUAGCCGGACUGAGAGGUUGAACGGCCACAUUGGGACUGAGACACGGCCCAGACUCCUACGGGAGGCAGCAGUGGGGAAUAUUGCACAAUGGGGGAAACCCUGAUGCAGCGACGCCGCGUGGAGGAAGAAGGUCUUCGGAUUGUAAACUCCUGUUGUUGGGGAAAAAGAGGAUGGUACCCAACAAGGAAGUGACGGCUAACUACGUGCCAGCAGCCGCGGUAAAACGUAGGUCACGAGCGUUGUCCGGAAUUACUGGGUGUAAAGGGAGCGCAGGCGGGUAUGCAAGUUGGGAGUGAAAUACAUGGGCUCAACCCAUGAACUGCUCUCAAAACUGUGUAUCUUUGAGUAGUGCAGAGGUAGGCG